GACGAACGCUGGCGGCGUGCUUAACACAUGCAAGUCGAACGGAAAGUGCCCAGCUUGCUGGGUGACUCGAGUGGCGAACGGGUGAGUAACACGUGGGUGAUCUGCCCUGCACUUUGGGAUAAGCCUGGGAAACUGGGUCUAAUACCGAAUACACCCUGCUGGUCGCAUGGCCUGGUGGGGGAAAGCUUUUGCGGUGUGGGAUGGGCCCGCGGCCUAUCAGCUUGUUGGUGGGGUGAUGGCCUACCAAGGCGACGACGGGUAGCCGGCCUGAGAGGGUGUCCGGCCACACUGGGACUGAGAUACGGCCCAGACUCCUACGGGGGGCAGCAGUGGGGAAUAUUGCACAAUGGGCGCAAGCCUGAUGCAGCGACGCCGCGUGAGGGAUGACGGCCUUCGGGUUGUAAACCUCUUUCAAUAGGGACGAAGCGUAAGUGACGGUACCUAUAGAAGAAGCACCGGCCAACUACGUGCCAGCAGCCGCCGUAACAC
rnacentral:rRNA from 1 species